GACCUAUUCUGUGGCCUAGUGGUUAGAGCGUCUGCCUCGAAUGCGGGAGGUCAUCGGUUCGAUUCCAGGCCAAGUCA